CCAUGACGUUGCUGAUGCUUCAACGGCAGGAGAAGCGAAGCGAUAUUUGCCUGAUUUUCGAAUCCAUGCUUCCAGUUAUGCAGUCAGCUGUCCUGUGAAGUAGUGUGUUCUUGCACGUAGCAUAUGCUGUGGCUCGUACAUCAAGUCCACAACACAUCUCCAAGUCAUGAUUUGACAAACGAGAAAAAUAAUAAGACACCAGUAUCAGAAGCAAACACUACAAAGAUGCAUCUUGAAGAACCAAAAUUAUUUGCUUUAUCUAUGCAGUUUAAAUUUAUUUCCCUGGCAUCUGUCCUUGUACUACUGUAACAUUGCACUAUUGGUACUAAAAUGCACAAUCUUUUGUACAAAGAAUGAAUUAAAACACUUAAAUUCUCA